rnacentral:lncRNA from 1 species
AAGUUAGAAUCGAAUAUAUGAAUAAGUUGUGUAGGGAAAGCAGAAUCUUUUUUUUCUUAUGCAAAAUUUAUUUCUUAUUGUAGAGCAGAAAGGAUUCCAGAAGUGGCACAAUGGGCGUCAUUCUUGAAGAUAUAAUAAAUUAUUAUAUUUUACUGAAGCCCUUAAUACAGACUUCCAUUAUAAUUAUUGGUUUACGAUCCAUUUUCCUCAUUAGACUGUGGAUUUCUUGAAAAUAAUUUGUGUAGAUUUUAAUGUCCACAAACCAGCAGCUACUCAAUAUUCUUGGCCCAGAUACCAUUAAGAAACUUAUGAUCUGCUACAAACAAGCACAGGCAUAGAUCUAUUGGGUCAAGAAGUGCCAUACAGAGGUAUAAACAUUUUAUCUUUUGUAAAAUAGUUUGUAAGAUUGCUUAAAAUACUUGCUCAGUUCAUCUUGCUGUAGCUUGUGGGUUGAAUUCUUUUAGUCAAGAGAGAUGGGGAACAAACCACCAGAAUGAAGUUACCUCUAACAGGACAGGUGACUAUCAUAGAUUUUUUUCCCUUUCACAUCAGUUAGUUCUAUUAUAGGACGUCGGUCCCAUGCCUGAGUCAUAGGAUGAGAGUGGGUGGGGACAUUUUUCCAGUCUGCUGUUAACCUAGCAAAUUUGACGAGGAGACCUAUGGUUCAAGGCAUCUUGAACAGCAAGGUGCCUCUACCUCUACCUCCUCCCCAUAGAUAACUAUGAAUCCCAAGACCAGGAAAGACGUUUGAUUUGAACAUACAUAUGAAAUAGAAACUUGAGAAGCAAACAACGACUAUUAUAAGCAUGUAAUUUUUAGUUGUUUGUUCAGACUUUUACAGCAGAGAGUUUUCACCUUAUUUCCCUUUUCAUCUCAUUGCAUUGGUAAGCCAAGCAUAUGCAAGACUGAACCUUGUCCUUACAUUGCUUACCUUUGGGAGAAAAGCAUUUGGGGCAGCUUUGGUCAAGUGUGCUCUUAAGGUGUGACCGGAACCAGUCUCUCCUGAGAUUGUGAGCUUCACCUUGGAAAUGCUGAACUAGCUAGUCAGACUGUAGUCCAUUGCUUGUCUGAAAUGGUGCAUUAUAUAUAGAAUCUCCGUCUCUCUCUGUCUUAGUCUCUCUCUGUAUAUGUGUGUCUGUUUAAAUUAUUUGAUUUUGUUAUAUGUGUAUGGGUGUUUUGCCUGCAUCUUUAUACCAGUUAUGUGCCUGGUGCCCUUGGAAGCUAGAAGAGAGAGCAUCAUAUCUUCUGAAACUGCAUUCACAGAUGGCUGUGAGCCCCCAUGUGGUUGCUGGGAAUGGAACGUGUAUCCUCUGGAAGAACAACCAGUGCCCUUAACCACUGAUCCAUCUCUCCAGACUCCCAGUAAAUGUUUUUUGAUACUCAACAAACGUUACUAGAGGAAGCAGAGAAGGAGGGGGAAAGUCACAGAUAGUUUAUCUCUAUCUACUUUGGGUUUAAUUAUUUUAGACUGAGUGAGCAUCUUAUGAAGUUGUUUUUAAAGUCAGUGUUCUCUGCCCUAAGGGUGCCAGCUUCUAAAUUUUGCGUAGGGUUUGCACGUGAUGAGUGGAAGCGAGCCAUGGGAUGGAAAUGCCUUCAGUGAAGUGCACACCCAGAGAAGUUUGUGGUUCAAUCAACCUGUUAGUGAAUGGGGGGCGGGGGUGGGUGAGGGAGUUCAUGAAUAGCGUCUCUGUUUUCUGAGCUGUGAUCUUGGACUUUGGGAUUAGGAAGUGUGAGAGGGUUUCUGUGGAGGAGAUGAUGGGGUGGGAGGUGUGCACACGGGGACACAUGAGAACCGUGUAAAGACAAGUGAUAAUCAGAUUUAGGAAGCCGGCUAGACAGACCCUUUCAGUUGAGAGGCGGAGGUGGGAGGGAAAGCUGCUUCUCUAAUGAGGGGCUCGAGUUUCAGCGCCUUCUCCUUUAUCCCCAUUCACAAAUGGUCCGUCUUUCCCCUUCUGUAAAACCUAUUCCCGCUCCACAGAUUACACUAACUUUCUGUCUGCUUCUGCUAAUUUUGUUUACUUUUCUUUCCUGUGCAGUGCAUCAAACUGGAAUGGUGGAAAAGGACUCCUCUGUCUUAUAAUAAUACUU